rnacentral:lncRNA from 1 species
CCUUAAAAUGGUUUUUAAAGCUAAUUGAAGAAGGGUCCCUAAAUUAAAGUAAAUUGAAGAAAUCCACAAAUCUUCUGGCUAAGAACUUAGAAGUUGCCAAUGACUGUUGGAAAAGACAGAUAAAAGAGGGCUAAAAAUAAAAAGCACAACUGGAUGCCCUUGAGGAAAGGUAUGUGUAUGGGAAGCGGGUAGCGAAGGUCAUUUCAAAGAGGGCUUGGUGGCUGUAAAACCAAAAGCUCUUAACGCUGUGACCAAAGAUUGAUGUUCUUCACAGAGCAGACCAUGCACUUUGUGAUAGUGCUGUUUUUCUGAGAAGAUAACAUGCAUUUCCCUGAAUCACAAUUUAUCAUUAAUUUCAUUUUGUCUCUUUUAGGGCUAUUUUCAGAGUGCCUGGAUGGACAGCAAAGAAAUCAAACCAACCACUUAAAUAAAAAUUUAUUGACAAUAAAUAAUUUUAUACAUUAAAAAAGAACCCUUAACACAA